CAACUUUUAACAACGGAUCUCUUGGUUCUCGCAUCGAUGAAGAACGUAGCAAAGUGCGAUAACUAGUGUGAAUUGCAUAUUCAGUGAAUCAUCGAGUCUUUGAACGCAACUUGCGCUCAUUGGUAUUCCAAUGAGCACGCCUGUUUCAGUAUCAAAACAAACCCUCUAUCCAACUUUUGUUGAAUAGGAUGACUGAGAGUCUCUUGAUCUUUCGAUCUCGAACC
rnacentral:rRNA from 1 species